rnacentral:rRNA from 1 species
AUUGAACGCUGGCGGCAGGCCUAACACAUGCAAGUCGAGCGGAAGAAGGGAGCUUGCUCCUGGAGUCAGCGGCGGACGGGGGAGUAAUGCCUAGGAAUCUGCCUGGUAGUGGGGGAUAACGUCCUGAAAAGGGCGCUAAUACCGCAGGCGUGCUGAGGGAGAAGGUGGGGGGGCGUCGGACCGCACGCGAGGAGAGGAGUUUAGGUCGGAUUAGCUAGUUGGUGGGGUGAAGGCCUACCAAGGCGAGGAUCCGGAAGUGGUCUGAGAGGAUGAUCAGUCACCCUGGAACUGAGACACGGACCAGACGCCUACGGGAGGCAGCAGUGGGGAAUAUUGGACAGUGGGCGAAAGCCUGAUCCAGCCAUGCCGAGUGUGUGAAGACGGCCUUCGGAUUGUAAAGCACUUUAAGUUGGGAGGAAGCGCAGUCAGUUAAUACCUUGCUGUUUUGACGUUACCGACAGAAUAAGCACCGGCUAACUACGUG